rnacentral:rRNA from 1 species
CCCUUAGAUGUUCUGGGCCGCACGCGCGCUACACUGAAGGCAUCAGCGUGUCCUUCCCUCCCCGAGAGGGGCGGGUAACCCGCUGAACCGCUUUCGUGGUAGGGAUCGGGGCUUGCAAUUAUUCCCCGUGAACCAGGAAUUCCCAGUAAGCGCGAGUCAUAAGCUCGCGUUGAUUACGUCCCUGCCCUUUGUACACACCGCCCGUCGCUACUACCGAUUGAACGUUUUAGUGAGGUAUUUGGAUCGGACCUGAAGGGGUUCACGCCCUUUCUGUGUCUGAGAAGACUCCCAAACUUGCGCGUUUAGAGGAAGUAAAAGUCGUAACA